rnacentral:lncRNA from 1 species
CUAAGAGAGAAAAGGGAAAGGCCUUCAUUUUCAAAAUGCUCCCAUCAACAUUCACGGGAGUCAUACUCGAACAAACAACCUCAAACUCCUUCAAGUGUUUAUUAGGAUCUUCCAUGGACAUCCCGUGGAACUUAGGAAUGUGAUGCAACAAACUUGAUUUCAAUUCGAACUCGUCCGUCUUCCCUAGGGCAGCCAUGGGGUAUUGGAUGCAUAGGGGAG